rnacentral:rRNA from 1 species
GAGUUUGAUCCUGGCUCAGCGCGAACGUUGGCGGCGUGCUAACACAUGCAAGUCGUGGGGCAGCAGGCCUUCCCUUUUGGGAAGGUGCUGGCGACCGGCGAACGGGUGAGUAACGCGUAGCUAACCUACCCUAAGGAUGGGGAUAACCCCCCGAAAGGGCUAAUACCCAAUAAAGAGGCUUAUUGAAUGAUGAGCCUCCAAAGGCCGCAAGGCGCCUUAGGAUGGGGCUGCGUCCCAUCAGCUAGUUGGUGAGGUAAAAGCUCACCAAGCUACGACGGGUAGCUGGUCUGAGAGGAUGGCCAGCCACAGUGGGACUGAGACACGGCCCGCACCUACGGGGGGCAGCAGUGGGGAAUAUUGGGCAAUGGCCGAAAGGCUGACCCAGCAACGCCGCGUGGUGGAAGAAGCCCUUCGGGGUGUAAACACCUGUCAGUGGGGAAGAUAAUGACGGUACCCACAGAGGAAGGGACGGCUAACUACGUGCCAGCAGCCGCGGUAAUACGUAGGUCCCGAACGUUGCGCGAAUUUACUGGGCGUAAAGGGUCCGUAGGCGGUCUGGUAAGUGGAAGGUGAAAUCCUGGGGCUCAACUCCAGAAUUGCCUUCCAAACUGCUGGACUUGAGGCAGGGAGAGGUCGGCGGAAUUCCCGGUGUAGCGGUGAAAUGCGUAGAUAUCCCCAGGAACACCAGUGGCGAAGGCGGCCGACUGGGAACUGUCCUGACGCUGAGGGACGAAAGCCAGGGGAGCGAACCGGAUUAGAUACCCGGGUAGUCCUGGCCGUAAACGAUGGAUGCUAGAUGUGGGCAGGGAAACCUGUCCGUGUCGCAAGCUAACGCGUUAAGCAUCCCGCCUGGGGAGUACGACCGCAAGGUUGAAACUCAAAGGAAUUGACGGGGACCGCACAACCGGUGGAGCGUCUGGUUUAAUUCGAUGCUAACCGAAAAACCUCACCAGGCUUGACAUGCGGUGUGUCUGCCGAAGUCACUAGGUACCUUAUGGUACCCGGCACAGGUGGUGCAUGGUCGUCGUCAGCUCGUGUCGUGAUGUUGGGUUAUACCAGCCGGGUACUCACAGGGGACUGCCGGCGAUAAGCCGGAGGAAGGAGGACUGACGUCAGAUCAGUAUGCCCUUUAUGGGCUGGGCUACACAGGCGCUACAAUGGCAGGACACAGGGAAGCGAAGCCGCAAGGUGGAGCAACCCCAAAAACCCUGUCGUAGUGCGGAUUGGGGGUUGCAACUCACCCCCAUGAAGGCGGAAUCGGUAGUAAUGGCGAAUCAGCAAUGUCGCCGUGAAUACGUUCUCGGGUCUUGUACACACCGCCCGUCACGCCACGGGAGUUGGGUCCAUCGGAAGUCCCCGGGCCAACCCGCAAGGGAGGCAGGGGCCGAUGAUGGGCCUGGCGACUGGGGCGAAGUCGUAACAAGGUAGCCGUA